UUAAUUGUGAAAUAUAUAAUAUAUAUUUAUGGAUCAACAUCAAAUUAAAAAAAAUAGAAGACCACCAUAAUAGUGUCAAUAAAAUUUUUAGACAAGUCAAAGCAAGCUGAAAUCUCAGAGACUAUUAUGUUUAUUUGCUAACUGUAUUGUUAGAUUGCCUAGUUGGUGCAAUUAAUACAAUAAUUCUUCUAAUUUGCAACACUGCCAGACACCAGUGACUCAAUGCAACUCACUGACUCUCAGAGAAGUUUAUCCCCUCUGCCAAUGUUUAUCUUUCUUGGCAAAUCAUCUUUAGUGCUCCAAGCAAACUAGAGGAUGGUGAAGCUGAAGAAGAUUCUACUUUCUGUUCCAUGCAGAGAGCUUCCUGGUAUUCAAAAAAGAGUGAGCCAUGUGGGUGUGAAAGAGCUGAGGGAUGAAAUUUGGAUCUUAUCAUAAGUGCAGAAGGAAAAUCAGGGGAUUUGAAGCACAAAUGUGAUAUGACCUAAUUUCUACUUUUAAAUGAUCACUCUGAUUGUUGUGAGGAGACUGAUAUGGGAUGAGCUGAGGGAAGAAUGUUACCAAGACCAGCUGGAAGCUGUUAAAGUCCUCCAGGAGAGAGCAUCAUGGCUGAACAAUCACCUUCUAGGAAAGGUCAUGCGAAUGGUCAUAUUUGGGAUGUAUUUUGAAGGCGGAAGCAAUUAGAUCAGCUAAUGAUGGAGGGAGUGAGGAGUUUUGAACCACUAGGUAAAUACCUGUCAGUAACUGAGAAAAUGUUGGGAUGUGUUAUGAGAGAUGAAUCCUAAAAUUUCAUAUGUUGAAGACUGAUCCUUCAGGGCCUCAGAAUGUGAACAUCCAUAGUAGAAGGCAAGUGUGGUGCUGAGGGCUGCCACUCACUUCUAGGUGCCCAAGCUCCUGCAGCAGUCCUGCUUCUCCCUUUCACCCACCCACCCUCACUCACAGACAGUGUCCCUUUCAGCUCUUCCAUUACCUCUGUUUUUGAUUUGUCUGGUGAGAGCAUAGCUGAUAUUUAUGCUUUCCGGAUACACUAGUCUCUUUUGCUGAUUGCUGACAUUGGAGAAGUUUAGGGAACAGGCCUGAGCUGAGUGACCUUUAGGAGCAUUUCCUGUUCUUUUCCUGUACUCUACUGCCAAGAAAAAACCUGUCUUGCACUAGGCCUGCAGAUUUCUCAGUUGCCCACAUCAUCAGGCAGUAUCUGCCUGGCACUCCUCUUUGUUCCUUUUCUCUGACCUUCGUUUUUGACAUGAUGGUUGACCUGGCGUCACCUAGGCAAGACUGCUCACUUCCACCUCCUAUGGAAAACAGUAUCUGGUGAAACCAGAGACAAUAAUCUCCCUAACACACUGGGAGCUGCUGGGCUCAAGCAACUACUCUAUGCUUAAGAUGCAAUUCAUAAAGCCCAACCAGAACUGAUCCACUUCCCACAGGGCCAGAGAAGAAUUGACAAUUAAGAAGGCAUUCCCCCUCAAAUCGGUCUAUAUUUAUUCCAGGGAAAAUAACAAUCUGUCUGGGUCCCUUACAAGAACAAUGUUGUAUGCAGCAAAAUCUAAUCUACUAGGAAGGCUUCUUGUAUUAUUAUCUGUAACUCUUCAGAAGGGCCAGACCAGACCCUUGUAUGCACAGCACAGGAUCCACUCAUGCACACCUGGCUAGGGGCUUGUCUUUAUGAUUUUCUGUCACAUGGCCUCUCAGCCAUACCUCCAAUGAAGCUAUCUUCAAAUAAAGAUUAGCCAUGCACAAAAAGUGAAAAAUUACACUAGGCCUACACAAGGUCUGAAUUGGAAAGUGCAGCUGGUGACACUGACUAGUAUAUUUUAUGAAUUGAUGAACACGGAAUUUCUAGGUAUCCUGGAGCAAUCAGCAGCUGAGGAGAGAGCUACCAAAUCAAGACCCUGACAGGGCUUUUUGGAAACUUAAUUUUUUAUUGUCAAAUUAUACAGAAAAAAAUGAAAGUAAAGGUAGUGAGGAGUACCAUACACCAUCACUUAGAAGAAUAAGUAACGGACAUUUGUGUGGGGAGAAAAAAAAGAUAUAGGAAGAAAAGUAAACAUGGCAAGGUAGAUUCAGAAUACAAGAUAUAGACAAAUAAGUGUGAGAAAGAAAGAGUAUUAGAAUAUUAUAGAUAAAUAUUCUCUGUGUGAAAGAACACUCUGAUGAAACACGUGAUACAAUUACUGAGUAAAAAACAGAAGACCAAUCAAUCCAAGGCGGAUAACAUUACAAAUUAUCUUAGUUGAAUGUAUAAUUGUGGCGAUUUAAUUAUCCGUGAUGACAAUUAUAAUAUUUAUUAGAAGAAAUAAAGUAGAGGAUGAAUUAUAUAGAAUAUUCUGGAGAAAGUAGAGGUCUUAGCUAUAUGACAUCGUCUGGCUCACUUAGGGAACCAUAUAUUCAGUUUGUUCAGGUCUAGAAAUCCCUUGGUGGUUUCUGUGUUCAGUUUUGUUUUAAUAAACCAUAAAGAUAUUUUUAAAAUACAAAUUUUUUAGCUUGCCUGUGUUGUACAGCACCAGGGCUUGCCUGAGUGUAGUGAGAUCCACAGAGUUUGGACAGUCCCUGUAGCCUGAGCAGGCUAUGGGGUAACUUUCUCACAUCUAUGUGUACCCAGGAGUGUGCUGUCCUCACACAUCUCACAGAUAAGCAAGACCAUCUCUAUUCCAUGAAAAAUUUAGCUAAAUGUGGAAAUAUCCACACACACACACAUAUUACGAGAGAUGGAAAUAGGCUACAAAAAGAGUCAGAGAUAUUGACCAUCUUCACUGUUAGCUGUGGGAUAGCUGCCCGCCACCCCGACACACCGACACAAACACACAUACACAGAAACAGAAAGCACAGUGGAAAUCAGAAUAGCAGUCUUUCCAAACAGAUUGAAAACCAAAUGAUGUCGAAAGUUCAAUUCUGACACUGUGCUGAUUGCUUGGACACAAUUCUGUCAAAACAUGUAUCCAAGUCAUAGUUGUACCUUUUAGAUAUUAGAUACAAACAACGUCCUACCCAACCCUUCCUGCUGGGCUAGAGUCCCAAAGAAAUGAGGGAUACACUUGACCUGCAGUAAGCAAAGCAGAACCCAGUCUCUGAGGUGAUGAGGCCCACCCAGCAGGGAGCUCAAAUGCGCCAUUGUUCUGCUUGUCUUUAUAAAGGGAGCUGACACGUUCUCCCAGCACAAAGUUGGGAGUGACUCCAGAGCCUCCUGCAAGAUGCUUCUGAUUCUGCUAUCAGUGGCCCUGCUGGCCUUCAGCUCAGUUCAGAGCUCAAGUGAAGAUGUCAGCCAGGAAGACGUUCCCUCCAUAAUAUCAGAUGAGGAAGACUCUGACCAGUUCAUAGAUGAGGCGCAUCAGGGACCACUUUUGGGAGGAGAGCUAUCUAAACACCCUGCUGGUGAUGGAAACAAGGAUGAUGGCCCUCAGCAGAAACCACCCCAUCACGGCCA